rnacentral:rRNA from 1 species
CCAAAAAAUAACUUAAACCCUUUAUUACUAUUAAAUACUCCUAUAUCUUUAUAGAAAUACUAAUGCUAAAACUAGUAACAAGAAAUAGAAUUUCUCCAAAAUACAAGUAUCAACCAAAAUGGACUAACCAUUGGUAAUUAACGUUAUUGAACCUAAUAUAACAACCCCUCAAGAAAAUAUUAUAGCCUCCACCGUUAAUCUUACACAAGAGUAUUUCCGGAAAGAUUAAAAGAAAAGGAAGGAACUCGGCAAAUUUUAGCCCCGCCUGUUUACCAAAAACAUCGCCUCUUGUUCAACUAUAAGAGGUCUAGCCUGCCCAGUGACAUAGUUAAACGGCCGCGGUACCCUGACCGUGCGAAGGUAGCAUAAUCACUUGUUCUUUAAAUAAGGACUCGUAUCAACGGCAUCACGAGGGCUAUACUGUCUCCCCUCUCUAAUCAGUGAAACUGACUUCCCCGUGAAGAGGGGGGAAUAAGACUACAAGACGAGAAGACCCCAUGGAGCUUUAAACCCAAUAACAACCUCUAUUUCUUUAUAACUUAAAAAUCAAGAGGUACUGUCUAUUGGUUUUAGGUUGGGGUGACCACGGAGUAAAACUAAACCUCCAUGACGAAUGGUAUAUCCUAAUCCAAGAGCUACUGCUCUAAGAAUCAACAAUUUGACGUAAUAUGAUCCGGCAGCCGAUCAACGAACCAAGUUACCCUGGGGAUAACAGCGCAAUCCAUUUCAAGAGCCCCUAUCGACAAAUGGGUUUACGACCUCGAUGUUGGA